rnacentral:rRNA from 1 species
GACGAACGCUGGCGGCGUGCCUAAUACAUGCAAGUCGAACGCUUCUUUUUCCACCGGAGCUUGCUCCACCGGAAAAAGAGGAGUGGCGAACGGGUGAGUAACACGUGGGUAACCUGCCCAUCAGAAGGGGAUAACACUUGGAAACAGGUGCUAAUACCGUAUAACAAUCGAAACCGCAUGGUUUUGAUUUGAAAGGCGCUUUCGGGUGUCGCUGAUGGAUGGACCCGCGGUGCAUUAGCUAGUUGGUGAGGUAACGGCUCACCAAGGCCACGAUGGAUAGCCGACCUGAGAGGGUGAUCGGCCACAUUGGGACUGAGACACGGCCCAAACUCCUACGGGAGGCAGCAGUAGGGAAUCUUCGGCAAUGGACGAAAGUCUGACCGAGCAACGCCGCGUGAGUGAAGAAGGUUUUCGGAUCGUAAAACUCUGUUGUUAGAGAAGAACAAGGAUGAGAGUAACUGUUCAUCCCUUGACGGUAUCCAACCAGAAAGCCACGGCUAACUACGUGCCAGCCGCCGCGGUAA